rnacentral:rRNA from 1 species
UUCCAGACUCCUACGGGAGGCAGCAGUGAGGAAUAUUGGUCAAUGGGCGGAAGCCUGAACCAGCCAAGUCGCGUGAGGGAAGAAGGCCCUGCGGGUCGCAGACCUCUUUGGACGGGGAGCAAGGCCGCCGACGUGUCGGCGGAAGGAGAGUACCCGUAGAACAAGCAUCGGCUAACUCCGUGCCAGCAGCCGCGGUAAUACGGAGGAUGCGAGCGUUAUCCGGAUUUAUUGGGUUUAAAGGGUGCGCAGGCGGCACGGCAAGCCUGAUGUGAAAGCCCGCGGCCCAACCGCGGGACUGCAUUGGGAACUACCGGGCUGGAGUGCCGGAGAGGUAGGCGGAAUUCCUAGUGUAGCGGUGAAAUGCGUAGAUAUUAGGAGGAACACCAGUGGCGAAGGCGGCCUACUGGACGGUGACUGACGCUGAGGCUCGAAAGCGUGGGGAGCAAACAGGAUUAGAUACCCGAGUA